rnacentral:rRNA from 1 species
GUCUUCGUCGCGUGUGUUUGUGUGGGUUCUUUGUGGACUCCCUGACACGUCGAGACGAUAGUUCACGCGCUACCGUGGAGGAGGGUGCUCUUGCUCUACUCGUCCAGCCUCAGCCGCGGCCCCCGUCGUGGCCGGCACCACCACUUCUGCCACCUGGACGUUUGCCGCCGCUGUGGCCUGCACCCCCGCUGCUGCCACCUGCACGUCUGCUGCCACCGUGGCCUGCACCCCCACUGCUGCCACCUGCACGUUUACCGCCGCCGUGCCCGGCACCGCCACUGCUGCCACCUGCACGUCUGCCGCCGCUCCCUCGAGGUCCUCGUCGUCCUGCCGUACUACAUGGACCUGCACUCCUGCCUCCUCCUCUACCCCUUCCCGGUGUAGGCGCCGAGGGAGUUGCAGGGGAUGAAGAAGCAGUGCGGUGUUCCCUGGGCCCUCUUCUUGGGUGCCAAGCACCUCGUCCAGCGGAGCGAGAAGUCGUGUCUGGUUGUGUAUGAGCAGAACAUGAUGAUAUGAUGAUGGUGAUUAGUAGGUACCUACCUCCUCGUCCCCACAGUCUCGCCGUUCUCCAGGCUCGAACGGACGUAGCUAGAAGAUCGUCGACCUAAGUACUUACACUUCUUGCACCCUCCUCCGAUGCGACGUACCGACGUGUUGCCUGAGGGUCACUGUCAUCGUCAGGGGUGCGGCGGUGGUUGUGGACUUAGACGACGUCGUUAGACUUUGUUGAUGCAUGUAAUCAUGCAUCAUGAUAGACGUAGAUAGUUAAGAGCUCGGUGGCCACGAAACAACACGAGACGGACACAUUACGUAGAUACUUACAUUCAGGUUCACUUACCUACUUGCCGACAUUAUUAUUUUGUGUAGUCACACGGACGGUGUCAUUCGCCGAGUACGAUCUGUCGUCGUACUGAAGAUGAGGGAGGCAAGGUAUUAUAUUCUGCAAAAAAAUAUCAUUACAUCAUAUUUUUUCCAGAAUGUAAUACCCCGUCUCUCUCAUAUUCAGAAACAUCUGUAAUAGUACCUGGUGUGUGCCUACAUAUAUCUACGUAAAGUCUCACAUCUAAAUGAGUAAAACGAGGCAUAUAUUAAGUAUCACCUUACAGAUGUUUCUGAAUAUAAAUUCUUGCCUCCCUCAUGAUGC